CCGUGGAGGGUCAUUGGAAACUGUUAAACUUGAGUGCAGGAGAGAAAAGUGGAAUUCCUAGUGUAGCGGUGAAAUGCGUAGAGAUUAGGAGGAACACCAGUGGCGAAGGCGGCUUUUUGGCCUGUAACUGACACUGAGGCGCGAAAGCGUGGGGAGCAAACAGGAUUAGAUACCCUGGUAGUNCACGCCGUAAACGAUGAGUGCUAAGUGUUGGUCUCAUAAGAGAUCAGUGCUGCAGCUAACGCAUUAAGCANUCCGCCUGGGGAGUACGACCGCAAGGUUGGAACUCAAAGGAAUUGACGGGGACCCGCACAAGCGGUGGAGCAUGUGGUUUAAUCCGAAGCAACGCGAAGAACCUUACCAAGUCUUGACAUACUGUGAGGACACAAGAGAUUGUGUUGUUCUGACCUUUGGUUAGACGCAGAUACAGGUGGUGCAUGGUUGUCGUCAGUUCGUGUCGUGAGAUGUUGGGUUAAGUCCCGCAACGAGCGCAACCCUUAUAUCUAGUUGCCAGCAGUAAGAUGGGGACUCUAGAUAGACUGCCAGUGAUAAACUGGAGGAAGGUGGGGAUGACGUCAAAUCAUCAUGCCCCUUAUGACUUGGGCUACACACGUGCUACAAUGGAUAGGAACAAAGAGAAGCGAGCUCGCGAGAGUAAGCAAACCUCAUAAAACUAUUCUCAGUUCGGAUUGUAGUCUGCAACUCGACUACAUGAAGCUGGAAUCGCUAGUAAUCGCGAAUCAGAAUGUCGCGGUGAAUACGUUCCCGGGUCCUGUACACACCGCCCGUCACACCACGAGAGUUUGUAACACCCGA
rnacentral:rRNA from 1 species